rnacentral:rRNA from 1 species
CCUAGGAGGCAGCAGUGGGGAAUAUUGGACAAUGGGCGAAAGCCUGAUCCAGCCAUGCCGCGUGUGUGAAGAAGGCCUUCGGGUUGUAAAGCACUUUCAGUGGGGAAGAAAGCCUUGGGGCUAAUACCCUCGAGGAAGGACAUCACCCACAGAAGAAGCACCGGCUAACUCCGUGCCAGCAGCCGCGGUAAUACGGAGGGUGCGAGCGUUAAUCGGAAUUACUGGGCGUAAAGCGCGCGUAGGCGGUCUGAUAAGCCGGUUGUGAAAGCCCCGGGCUCAACCUGGGAACGGCAUCCGGAACUGUCAGGCUAGAGUGCAGGAGAGGAAGGUAGAAUUCCCGGUGUAGCGGUGAAAUGCGUAGAGAUCGGGAGGAAUACCAGUGGCGAAGGCGGCCUUCUGGACUGACACUGACGCUGAGGUGCGAAAGCGUGGGUAGCAAACAGGAUUAGAUACCCUGGUAGUC